UACAGAGGUCCCAAGCGUUGUUCGGAUUCAUGGUGCGUAAAGGGUGCGUAGGUGGUGAGGUAAGUCGGAUGUGAAAUCUCCGAGCUCAACUCGGAAAUGGCAUUGGAAACUACCUUGCUUGAGGGUUGGAGGGGGGACUGGAAUACUUGGUGUAGCAGUGAAAUGCGUAGAUAUCAAGUGGAACACCAGUGGCGAAGGCGAGUCCCUGGACAACUCCUGACACUGAGGCACGAAAGCUAGGGGAGCAAACAGG
rnacentral:rRNA from 1 species